rnacentral:ribozyme from 14 species
UUUCUUUCUCACUCUUUCUCUUUCUCUUAUUUCUUUCUCUUAUUUCUUUCUCUUUCUUUCUGUCGUCGAAUCUGAAUUCUAAAGUGAAAAGAAGAAGAAGAGGCAGAAGAAAAAGAGGAAAGAAGAAAAAGUUUUUCUUCCUCUUAAAAAGAAGAGAUAAAAUGAAAUGAAAAGAAAAAGAAAAACCUCUUCUUCCAACCUUCCUUCUUUCC